GACGGAGGAGGCAAGCAUUAUCCGGAAUUAUUGGGCGUAAAGGGUACGUAGGCGGCUGGUCAAGUCUGGGGUUAAAGGCCACAGCUCAACUGUGGGAAGGCCCUGGAAACUGACCGGCUAGAGUGAGGUAGGGGUUGCGGGAAUUCCCGGUGUAGCGGUGAAAUGCGUAGAGAUCGGGAAGAACACCUGAGGCGGAAGCGCGCAACUGGGCCUCAACUGACGCUGAGGUACGAAAGCUAGGGGAGCUAAUGGG
rnacentral:rRNA from 1 species